GUGAAGGUUGGUUAUCAGUUCUUUAUAUAGAGAAGCUAGGCAACAAGGCUUGUCCCUUCGGGGACAUCCGAUAAAAUUGGAACGAUACAGAGAAGAUUAGCAUGGCCCCUGCGCAAGGAUGACACGCAUAAAUCGAGAAAUGAUUUGAGUUUUAGAGGUUGGGAAGUAAGCAAGCAUCUUUGACGGCUCAUAUUCCAGGAGUUAUUUAACCAAUUCAUGAAAUGAUCACAAACCAGAUCAUUUAAUCAACUUGGUACAUUUUCGAAAGAUGACUUUCGAUGCUAGCCUGAAACUUGGCAAUAAGUUUGCCUAUAGACGGCCAAUUAUCUUUGAUUAUAGGAACAUCUGCAAAAGUUGCCGCCCAUGCUGAUAACAAUGGAAACUCUUCUUCGGUCACCAUUUUCAUAUCUGCUACGUCUUCAAACACACUCACAUAGUGUGCGAGCCAUCCAAGUGCAAUAUCCGCAAAUCCAAGUUUCUCUCCGCCAAAGAAUUUCUUACUGUUUAGCUCUUCUUCCAGGUACUUCAAGUUUUCCUUGGCUUUUACGAUAGCUUCAUCUUGCUCUUUCCCUUCCUUCAUAAAGGAUUCCCCAAUAGAUGGCAAAACCUUCAUAGAAAUCACAACCAAACUGAAUAAUCAAAUAUCAAUACUAAGAAUGCGGUUUUCUUUCCUUAUUUUUCAGGUAAGUAAUGAUGGUUUGGUUUAGCUACCUGAUGUACUUUCACUCGAUGUUUUAUUAAUUGUGCAAGAAACUAUCCGAUUAUGAAAGGCUAGUUUAGAUUACCUUCUCAUCACCAUAUCUGGCCCAAAAGCGUGCAGUCGCUCGCUUAAGAGGAUCUUCCGGCAGAGCACUGGAACUUUCUUAUGAAUAGGGUUAGACUGAAGAAGUAAAGGGCUUUUGUUUGAAAGAUCUUCGUGGAUUGUUUCAUACAGGACGCCUUUGAGUUGUAGUGCCCAAACUAUUCUCAGAGAAAAAGGUCUGGAC